CAAGUCCUUCUUCUACGGGAUCCAAUUCUACCGAUGGACUCAGACUAUAUUGAAGGGUAUAAAAGACUAAACCUAUCUACUUUUGCAGGGGUAUACUCAUUGUAAGAGACUGAGAACUAGUUAGCUUAGACAGAGAAGGCUUUUCACGACUUUUGGGGUGGUUCUCGAACAGAGAGUUAUACUCACCACUUAUAUGCUGGUGGGAGAGGCAGGUCGCUGGUGGCAACUCAAGCAGGCCACCCUGCCCGUCCCAGUUACUUGGGAAUAGUUUAUAAUGACAUUCAAUGCCGAU
rnacentral:lncRNA from 1 species